UACGGGGGGUGCGAGCGUUGUCCGGAAUCACUGGGCGUAAAGGGCGCGUAGGUGGUUUGAUAAGGGUGUGGUGAAAGUCCGGAGCCCAACUCCGGAUCUGCCGUGCCGACUGUCAAACUCGAGGGCUGUAGAGGCAGACGGAAUUCCGGGUGUAGCGGUGGAAUGCGUAGAGAUCCGGAGGAAGACCGGUGGCGAAGGCGGUCUGCUGGGCAGUUUCUGACACUGAGGCGCGACAGCGUGGGGAGCAAACAGGG
rnacentral:rRNA from 1 species